UGAGUAACGCGUGGGUAACCUGCCUCACACUGGGGGAUAACAGUUAGAAAUAGCUGCUAAUACCGCAUAAGCGCACAGUUCCGCAUGGAACAGUGUGAAAAACUCCGGUGGUGUGAGAUGGACCCGCGUCUGAUUAGCCAGUUGCGGGGUAACGGCCCACCAAAGCGACGAUCAGUAGCCGGCCUGAGAGGGUGAACGGCCACAUUGGGGCUGAGACACGGCCCAAACUCCUACGGGAGGCAGCAGUGGGGAAUAUUGCACAAUGGGGGAAACCCUGAUGCAGCGACGCCGCGUGAGUGAAGAAGUAUUUCGGUAUGUAAAGCUCUAUCAGCAGGGAAGAAAGUGACGGUACCUGAAUAAGAAGCCCCGGCUAACUACGUG
rnacentral:rRNA from 1 species